rnacentral:rRNA from 1 species
AGUGAACGCUGGCGGUAGGCCUAACACAUGCAAGUCGAACGGCAGCACAGUAAGAGCUUGCUCUUACGGGUGGCGAGUGGCGGACGGGUGAGGAAUACAUCGGAAUCUACUUUUUCGUGGGGGAUAACGUAGGGAAACUUACGCUAAUACCGCAUACGACCUACGGGUGAAAGCAGGGGAUCUUCGGACCUUGCGCGAUUGAAUGAGCCGAUGUCGGAUUAGCUAGUUGGCGGGGUAAAGGCCCACCAAGGCGACGAUCCGUAGCUGGUUUGAGAGGAUGAUCAGCCACACUGGAACUGAGACACGGUCCAGACUCCUACGGGAGGCAGCAGUGGGGAAUAUUGGACAAUGGGCGCAAGCCUGAUCCAGCCAUACCGCGUGGGUGAAGAAGGCCUUCGGGUUGUAAAGCCCUUUUGUUGGGAAAGAAAAGCAGCAGGUUAAUACCCCGCUGUUCUGACGGUACCCAAAGAAUAAGCACCGGCCAACUUCGUG